AUGCAGUCGAGGGAGAACCAGUUGAUUCGUAAGAUUCGGCUGGGGAAACCGGCGAACGGGUGCGUAACACGUGAGGAACCUGCCCCGAAGACCGGGAUAGCCCGAGGAAACUCGGAUUAAUACCGGAUACCCUCUUUGGACCACAUGGUCGAUUGAGGAAAUGGUCCGCCGCUUCGGGAUGGCCUCGCGGCCUAUCAGCUUGUUGGUGAGGUAACGGCUCACCAAGGCCGAGACGGGUAGCUGGUCUGAGAGGACGAUCAGCCACACUGGGACUGAGACACGGCCCAGACUCCUACGGGAGGCAGCAGCAGGGAAUAUUGCACAAUGGGCGAAAGCCUGAUGCAGCGACACCGCGUGCGGGAUGAAGGCCUUCGGGUUGUAAACCGCUUUCAGGAGGGACGAAAAUGACGGUACCUCCAGAAGAAGGCCCGGCCAACUACGUGCCAGCAGCCGCGGUAAUACG
rnacentral:rRNA from 1 species